UGUGUAUAGUAUGAAUUAUCUAUCGAGGG
rnacentral:sRNA from 1 species